UACGAAGGGGGCUAGCGUUGCUCGGAAUCACUGGGCGUAAAGGGUGCGUAGGCGGGUCUUUAAGUCAGGGGGGAAAUCCUGGAGCUCAACUCCAGAACUGCCUUUGAUACUGAGGAUCUUGAGUUCGGGAGAGGUGAGUGGAACUGCGAGUGUAGAGGUGAAAUUCGUAGAUAUUCGCAAGAACACCAGUGGCGAAGGCGGCUAACUGGUCCAGAUCUGACGCUGAGGUGCGAAAGCGUGGGGAGCAAACAGG
rnacentral:rRNA from 1 species